rnacentral:rRNA from 1 species
CCUACGGGAGACAGCAGUGAGGAAUAUUUGUCAAUGGGCGCGAGCCUGAACCAGCCAAGUAGCGUGACGGCUGACUGCCCUACGGGUUGUAAACUUCUUUUAUCAAGGAAUAAAGUUAGGCACGUGUGCCUUUUUGUAUGUACUUUAUGACUAAGGAUCGGCUAACUCCUUGCCCGCAGCCGCAGUAAUACGGAGGAUCCGAGCGUUAUCCGGAUUUAUUGGGUUUAAAGGGAGCGUAAAUGGGUUGUUAAGUCAGUUGUGAAAUUUUGCGGCUCAACCGUAAAAGUGCAAUUGAUACUGGCAGCCGUGAGGACAGGUGAGGUAGGCGGAAUGCGUGGUGUAGCGGUGAAAUGCUUAGAUAGCACGAAGAACUCCGAUUGCGAAGGCAGCUUACUAAAUUGCCACUGACAUUGAUGCUCGAAAGUGUGGGUAUCAAACAGGAUUAGAUACCCCAGUAGUC